rnacentral:rRNA from 1 species
UACAGAGGUCUCAAGCGUUGUUCGGAUUCAUUGGGCGUAAAGGGUGUGUAGGUGGCGCGCUAAGUCGGGUGUGAAAUUUCGGAGCUUAACUCCGAAACUGCAUUCGAUACUGGCGUGCUUGAGGACUGGAGAGGAGACUGGAAUUCAUGGUGUAGCAGUGAAAUGCGUAGAUAUCGAGAGGAACACCUGCGGCGAAGGCGGGUUGCUGGGCUGAUACUGACGCUGAGGCGCGAAAGCCAGGGGAGCGAACGGG